CGGGGCGUCAGCUGGGCGCGGGCGGAACCACUCGGCGAUGCGCGGGGGGAGCCGAGGCGUGUUGCCUCGCUGAGGCGAUUUCACCCCGUCACGCAGAUCUGACGGGUGGUAAAUAAGAGCGACCCUACCAGGUGCGUCACUUCACAGGAAGUCUCUGCGCUACGUCUCUAGUGAUCCCUGAGCAGGUCCAGCACAGCAUUCACACCAGCACUGAUGAGCAGCAGAGAAUGGCCUCUAUCAUUACUGAAAUUAGAGGUGUGGGACAAAGCCCUAAUUCCACCUGAUCUCUGGGCAGCAGCACAGCUCCCCGGUCAGUCCUCACUGCCCGCAGGCCGCCCUGCAGCGCCCUCCCCAGCGCCCCUCAUCUCACUGGCCUCCCCACGCCCGCCUCAGAGUGGAGUCAGAGUUCCCAGGAUUCACAAAUGAGCCGUGGCAGAUACUCGACGGAAACAGUGUCUCCUCCGUGUUCCUGCUGCAUCGCUGAGCAGUCACACCUCGUACCGCCCGGAGCCACCGUCCCUCCGCGUUCCCUUCUGAGAAGCCCAUCAUCCCGGGCCCUCUGUGACCUCUUCAGAGAUGCCGCCUUCCAGACAGCCCGUGACACCGAAGGGCUGACACCAAUGUCCUGAAGGGCAUGACUCAGCUGAGAGAAACCCCAGGGGUCCCGGGAGCGGGGAGGAGAGGAUUGUGAAGGAAGUCACGCCCUGCAUCUAGACGACCUGCACUUGGCAUUUUGUGGCUGGACAGUGCCUUUUGUCAUCUGAUUGUAAUUCGCUUCACUGUACAACUCAUGACAAGGGACAGAGGAUUUUGCCUCAGGAGAUGACCUGCUCUGGGGGCCCGAGCAGGGCCUGGGCCUGCUGGGAGGCGGGGAGGGUCGCUCACUGAGUCAACCACAUAAGUGAGGAACUACUGAGGCCUGGGGCCCUGGACUGGGGGAGCUGGGUGGUCCAGGAGGAGCCUGUGUCCAGGAGCCACUGCUAAGCUCUUGGGGGGUUUCUGCAGGGACAGGCCACCUUCUGCUCUGUCACUGGGCGCCCCUCCUGAGAGUCCAGCUCAGAGGGCACUGGAGAAGUAGCCCUGAGCCUGCUGUGUCCAGAGUCUCGUUGUGACACAAACUAUCUGAUUUCCAAGGUCAUCUAGAAGGUAAGGAAAGAUAGGAGUGAAGCGGAUGCUAAGAUAGGAAAGACGGGGCGCUCCGGUGUGCCCCGACAGGGUUUCCUUGACAUUCUCUUCUUCCCUGUCAAAAAAUGAGGCCCCUGGACUGAGCGCUAGUACAGCAGUUAGGGUGUUUCCCUUGCACGUGGCCAACCCAGGUUCAAUCCCUGACACUGCGUAUGGUCCUCUGAGCCCUGCCUGGAGCACAAAGCCAGGAGUAAGCCCUAAAAAUAGCCAGCGGUUGUGGCCUGAAACAUUCCUGGACAAAAAAAGAAAAAGAGGAGCAUGUAUGUGCCCUUCUCCUUCGCCUUUGGCGUCCAGUGACACAGAGUAGAGACCAGUGAUUAGGAGAAGGGACAGAGACUUGGGGAAUAGUGCUCGGGACUUACUCCUGGCGGUGCACUCAGGGGUCACUCCUGGCAGUGCUCGGGGACCAUAUGAGGUGGUGGGGAGGGAAUUCAGGUUGUCUGCAUGUAAGGCCAGGGCCCUCCCCGCUGUGUUCUCUCCAGCUCAGAGCCUCACACUGCCGGAGAGGCGGCAAACCCGUCUCUUAACCCCUGUGCGAUCUCUACCGGCUCAGACAGAGGGUUUGCCUGGCCCCUUCUUGCUCACCCUCUAAGAAUGCUCAAGGUAGGGUUUAACCGUCUCCAUCCCAAGCAGAAAAACCAAUCAAGACAUGACCUUGCUAUAGGAACCCUGAUAAGCAACAGUCUCAACAGUUUAUCUCCCAACUUUGGGAAGGUACAUAAGAAACUGGUAACCUCGCUGUUCUCUAGGGUGGGAAACAGGGCAGCUGGGCUCGAGGCCGGGGAGAGACUCCUGCAUUUUCCUGCUUUAUGGCUUUUGUGCUUUUCAAGCCUCAUAGCAUCUAAUGAUCAUCUUGAAUGCAAAAACACAUAAUUCACACUUAAAAAUGCUCCCAAUGGAGGGCCCGGGAUGUGGCUCAGAAUAGAGCAUUUGGUGUUGGAAGACCCUGGGUUGGAUCCCUGGAGCAGCCCCCACUCCUUCAAGCGAUCCUGAGGGUUCUGGGUAUUGGUUCUGGUUGGGCAGAACAGGAGCUGGCUUUGCACUGGGUUUAGUCCUUAAGAUGCCCUUCCCUUUUCUAACCAUGAGGUUUGAUGUAAGGGGUAGAGAGGAAACAAAGGCACUUGUGGUCCCUGCCGCCCACCUACACACCUCCCGGAGCCACACGCCCCCUCUGAAGGCCCAGCUACCCAUCUUGUCCCAAGCGCCACCACAGGCCUCAGUGCCUGGCCCCAGAAGCCACGUUGGAGCGGGACAGGCGCAGUUGGCACAGACUGUCCCCUCCAGUCUGUGAGCAGGGUGUGUCCCUCGCCCGCCAGCCAGGGCCGGCUGAGCUCACCAGCUCCUGAAGUUGCAUCAGCAACAGGUGUGGCUGGGCCGGUAGGUGAGGGAGGGUCCGGCUUGGCACGUGGUCUGCCCACAGACCCCCACGGAGGCUCAGGCACGCCCAGGGCCCAGGCAGAGGGUGGAGCAGAGACCACGAGGCAGGUUCUGUUGGACCCAGGCUGCUGGUCCUGGGCCAGAACUGGGGGCCCAGUCCUGGAGGCCACCCUCAGGGCAGCAGCCGCUUUGCCUGUGAGAAUGUCCCAGGGGGCGGCUGAGAUGCAGGAAGCGCUUGGACCAUCUCCCCCAGCUCCUCGCUCACAGAGCAGCCCCACCGACCGCCAGCUCUGCCCCCCGGGCCAACCCCAGUGAGCCUCCACACAGGCCUCUUCUCCCCCUUCCCACCCCCUCCCCAGUGGCAAAGUUCCAUCGGCUGGGCCUGCCGUGGGAAGCUGCUCCCUGCCUAGGGCGGCUGUGGGACAGACCUUGGGAGCGUGGCCACAGCCCCCAGCCCCACUGUUCCCUCCUGGGGCCCGAGGGCUCCCCAACCUAGCUGGCCUCCUGUGAAGAACAGAAACAAAACGGCUCAGUACCCCCUGGAAAUCUACCUAACUUAAGUGAACAAACAGAAAGUGCCCCUCUAAGGCGACUGCCUCAGCACUCACUGGACCUUCCAGUGUCCCCGCAGCCCCCUUCCCACAUCCGGGAGGACCAGUACUGCCCAGUGUUGUUGCUGGCCCCGUGGAGCGCCUAGUCUCUGCUGGUACUCAUGCAGUUAUGCUGUGAUUUUCUUAUUGCUGAGCUCUCAGCGGGGGAUGUGCAUCCUCAUCCCGACCUGUGUUGCCCGGGGCCCUGGCCUGGCCAGCUGAGGGGUGAGGGCAGGGGAGGGGGGCCUGCCCUUGGGAGGGGAACAGGAGUCUGGAGACUUCCCUGGACGUCCCACCAGGCCUGUGGAGACAGCGAGCUGGAAGGGACAAAGUUGAGGGCCAAGUCCCUCCAAACCCCACUCCAGGUCACUGAGUCCAGGCAUCCAGGGCCCGGCGGGUUCAGGGCGAGGCUCAGCCCUCCCUCAGCCACUCCUGGGGGCCCCCAGGCAGCUUCCAGAAUCUGAGACACAGGAGGGAGGGCGCGGGCAGGGGCCGUGGACUGGGUGUUUGCCAGGUGGGUGAGGUGCCCGCGGCAGACUGAGCUCACCUGCUCCCCGCCUUGCAUCAGCUGCCUCCGGCUGCCAGGCCCUGGGAAUUGGGCAGAAGGCUCCGGGGAGCCCGGCCUCGCCUCGUGUUCUCUGAGAGCAGGGCAGAAAGAAGCAGGGCUGGGACUCACAGGCCCUUCGUUUGCAGCUCACCCCGCUGCCCCACUCCCCGUGCCCCAGGCAGCAGGGCGCCCCCAUACCCAAGGGCUGCAGGCCCCCUCCAGACAUCACCCUGCCAGCCCCAAGACCUCCUUUCUCCAAGCUUCCAAAAGUCAGUGGUGGUGAGGCACUUGGCUUGCACAUGGCAGAUCUGGGUUCAAUCCCCAGCACCCCAUAUGGUCCCCUUGAACCCACCAGAGUGAUCCCUGAGUGCAGAGCCAGGAGUAAGGUCUGAACACUGCCGGUGUAGCCCCAAAAUUAAAAUAAAUAAGAGUGGUGGAGUCUAUCAAGUAGAUGGGGGACCCUGGAAUUCUCUGACCCCUUAAAAAUCACCCUCCAGGGUUGGAGCGAUAGCACAGCGGGUAGGGUAUUUGCCUUGCACUCGGCUGACCCGGGUUCGAUUCCCAGCAUCCCAUAGAGUCCCCUGAGCAUUGCCAGGAGUGAUUCUUGAGUGCAGAGCCAGGAGUAACCCGUGUGCAUCGCCAGGUAUGACCCAAAAAGCAAAAAAAAAAAAAAAAUCACCCUCCAGGACCAGGAACAAGGCUCUUGGGUAGAGCACACGCCCUGCAUACUCCAGGCCCUAGAUUCCGUCCUCGUGACUGCGUGGACGUGGUCAGCUCCCACAACAGCAGCGAUAAAGGUGAUGCUUGUGACAGGAGUAAAGCUGCACAGUGACCCUGCGGCAGGGCUAUGGGAAGGCCUGUUACCUCCCGCGUGCGUCGGCCCUGGCUGAGAGUGACUCCCGAGCCACUCCUCAUAUGUGAUCCUAAGCCCACGCCACCGUCUGGGGCCAAUCGCCUCUGCAAGGCCCGUGGCUGUCUGGACCUGUCUGUGUCUGGAUCUUCUUGGGAUGCCAAAGUGAAUGUAACUGUUGAAAAGGCAGCUGCACAAGGCAGGCAUGCAAUGAGAGUGACCCCUCUCCUCUCCUCCUCCAGAAGCUUCUCAACAAGAGCAUGCAGAGUUCAGGGUCACUCCAGGGGACACCCGCCAGCCCUCUGCCCUGGACUCUCCGCCAACUUCUGCUCCAAGGCCAGCAGGGCUGCUGCCUGUGGUAUCUCAGCCCUGGGCCGAGGGUUGGUGAAGGCAGGAGGGGCUGGGGACAGAGAGAGCAGGCGUGGGUGGGAGCGGGGACCAGGCCAGACCCCACUCGGUGCGUCCUCUCUGGCUCCAGGCCUUACUCCCAGACCAGGUGAUACUAAGAAAAUUGUACAUAAAACCUCCCUCGCCAGCCCAUGACAGUCCCCUCUCGCCUCUUCCCUCCGCUGUGCUGGAAGAGGAGAUGUGACGCCAUCCACAGGCCAGAGCCUUAUUCCAGCUCUUUCCACAAGCUCCCCAUGCUUUGCUACAGCUCUUCUCUGUCCUGACUUCUGGGCCCGCAUGGAGGCUGGGCUGAUCCACUCAUUGUCUCUGGCACACACAAGUCCAUCUGAAACCUGUA